GGAGCGGCGGUGAAGGGCCCGGGUGAAGCAGGGGUGGCUGGUGCUUGCCGCGUCUCAUGGCUGCGUCCGGAAAACUCAGCACUUGGCGUCUGCCGCCGUUGCCCACGAUUCGAGAAAUCAUUAAGUUGUUAAGACUGCAAGCAGCGAAGCAGCUAUCACAGAAUUUCCUCCUGGACUUGAGGCUGACAGAUAAAAUUAGAAGAACUCAAGCAAAGAAAAAGCAAAAAUGAAGAAAAAGAAGAGGAUGAUGCAGAGAAUUAGACUCUAGCUGCUGCCUGGGGGCGAGCAGCCUACCAGAUGUUGAUUUGCACUACGUGGAGCUUCUUAUAUAGGUACUCUUUUGUCUUUACAGAAUGACAAUAAAAAUGCCAAUGACCAGAUGUGACUUAUUUUCCUUUUACUAUACAGCUUGGCAGAGAAAAUAAAUAUCA
rnacentral:sRNA from 1 species